GCGCGGGCGGGGCAGGAGGCUGCAGAGUCCUGCGCGCCGCCGCGCUAGCUGCUGGGUCACAGCCCUAGCCGCGCCGCCUGCUCGGCGAGGAAGUGACGACUGCGCCGUCCGGAGAGCAACAAAGUUUGAGUCUGCGGGUCGCGCUCGCCUGCGUCCCGCGCCCCCUCGGAGCUACCCAGGGAUCCAGCGUGCAGUCCAGAACCUACACCACAUGCUAUGGACCUGCGACAUGUGGACACCACGUCCUGUGGACACUGGAGUCGUUCAUUUCCAUGGAAACUUGUAGGUUACUUUACAAGAGAUUGAAUGCCUACCAGCUACCAAGCUUAACCACGAGGCCUCAUAAUGAAGUGGACUUCAUGUUGUGAGCUCUAAGACCCAGAAGACCACAUGUCAGUAAUUAUAAUAUCAUACACCAAUGAACUUAAGGAGCCAUUGAUUCUAUUAAGUAAUUUUAUGUCAAGCUAAAAAGGGAAAAUGGG
ensembl:lncRNA